rnacentral:lncRNA from 1 species
GAGUUGAAUACACACAACACAAGGAAGUUACUGAGAAUUCUUCUGUCUAGCAUAGUAUGAAGAAAUCCCGUUUCCAACGAAGGCCUCAAAGAGGUCUGUAUAUCCACUUGCAGAGUUUACAAACAGAGUGUUUCCUAACUGCUCUAUGAAAAGAAAGGUUAAACUCUGUGAGUUGAACGCACACAUCACAAAAGAGUUUCUGAGAAUCAUUCUGUCUAAUUUUUAUAUGAAGAUAUUUCCUUUUCAACCACUGACCUCAAAGCGGCUGAAAUCUCCAUUUGCAAAUUCCACAAAAAGAGUGUUUCAAGUCUGCUCUGUGUAAAGGAUCGUUCAACUCUGUGAGUUGAAUACACACAACACGAGGAAGUUACUGAGAAUUCUUCUGUCUAGCAGAAUAUGAAAAAAUCCCGUUUCCAACGAAGGCCUCAAAGAGGUCUG